AUUGAACGCUGGCGGCAGGCCUAACACAUGCAAGUCGAGCGAUCGGCGGACGGGUGAGUAAUGUAUGGGGACUGCCCGAUAGAGGGGGAUAACUACUGGAAACGGUGGCUAAUACCGCCUCCUAUCGGCUAACCCCUAUGGGAUUAGCUAGUAUGUGGGGUAAAGGCUCACCUAGGCGACGAUUUCUAGUUGGUCUGAGAGGAUGAUCAGCCAAACUGGGACUGUGACACGGGCCAGACUCCUACGGAGGGAGCAGUGGGGAAUAGUGCACAAUGGGCGCAAGCCUGAUGCAGACAUGCCGCGUGUAUGAAGAAGGCCUUAGGGUUGUAAAGUACUUUCAGCGGGGAGGCGUUACCCGCAGAAGAAGCACCGGCUAACUCCGUGCCAGCAGCCGCGGUAAUAC
rnacentral:rRNA from 1 species